rnacentral:rRNA from 1 species
GAUGAACGCUGGCGGCGUGCCUAAUACAUGCAAGUCGAGCGAACAGACGAGGAGCUUGCUCCUCUGACGUUAGCGGCGGACGGGUGAGUAACACGUGGAUAACCUACCUAUAAGACUGGGAUAACUUCGGGAAACCGGAGCUAAUACCGGAUAACAUGUUGAACCGCAUGGUUCAACAGUGAAAGACGGUCUUGCUGUCACUUAUAGAUGGAUCCGCGCCGCAUUAGCUAGUUGGUAAGGUAACGGCUUACCAAGGCAACGAUGCGUAGCCGACCUGAGAGGGUGAUCAGCCACGCUGGAACUGAGACACGGUCCAGACUCCUACGGGAGGCAGCAGUAGGGAAUCUUCCGCAAUGGGCGAAAGCCUGACGGAGCAACGCCGCGUGAGUGAAGAAGGUCUUCGGAUCGUAAAACUCUGUUAUUAGGGAAGAACAAAUGUGUAAGUAACUAUGCACGUCUUGGCGGUACCUAAUCAGAAAGCCACGGCUAACUACGUGCCAGCCGCCGCCGUAA